AUUGAACGCUGGCGGCAGGCCUAACACAUGCAAGUCGAACGAGUGGCGGACGGGUGAGUAAUGUCUGGGAAACUGCCCGACGGAGGGGGAUAACUUCUGGAAACGGUAGCUUAUACCGCAUACCAUCGGAUGUGCCCAAAUUGGAUUAGCUCGUGGGGGGGGUAACGGCUCACCUAGGCGACGAUCCCUAGCUGGUCUGAGAGGAUGACCAGCGACGCUGGAACUGAGACACGGUCCAGACGCCUACGGGAGGCAGCAGUGGGGAAUAUUGCACAAGGGGCGCAAGCCUGAUGCAGCCAUGCCGCGUGUAUGAAGAAGGCCUUGGGGGUGUAAAGGACUUUCAGCGAGGAGGCGUUACUCGCAGAAGAAGCACCGGCUAACUCCGUGCCAGCAGCCGCGGUAAUUC
rnacentral:rRNA from 1 species